UCUCUCCCUGCGUGCAGUGAAGUGAGGGGGAGAUGGAGAGAAGGGAGAAACAUUAACGCCGGAGGAGAUGGAGGGAGGAGAUGGAGGGCUGAGAGUAUUUAUAGGUGGAGGGAUGAGGAGGUAGAGCGACUGUGAGGAAGAGCGGGAGGGAGGCAGAGGUACAAAGAAGGAGGAUCCCCCACACAGGAAGAAGAAAAGGAGACAAAGAAGAGGAGCACGUGAGGAGGAAAGCAUGCUGAGGAGGAAGAGGAGCGUGUCGUUCGGGGGCUUCGGCUGGAUUGAUAAGUCUACGGUCAGCUCUCUCAGAGCUCGCAAACAGGACCACCUGACCAUCCCCAAUGCUCCAGUGGCAGAGUGCCCCCCCUCUCCUCCCCGGACCGCGCCCCCCACCAUGAAGUCGGCCCACUUCUUUGACACAAUGGACCUGAUGGAGCAGGUGCCAGAAGCUGCAGAGACGAAGAGCGCUCCCCAGAGGCAGAAGGAUGACUACAUUCCUUAUCCGAGGAUUGAGGAGGUGUUGGAGAGGGGGCGGCCUUACCCUCAGGUCAUUCUGCCGCAGUUCGGCGGUUAUUGGAUCGAGGACCCUGGGGGCCCACCUCCUCCCGCGCCUCCACCCAUUUACCUCAACAGCAGGGGAGAUGCAGACGAGGAGGAGGUGGGACAGUUGGAACCAAGAGAGCUGGAGGAUCGCCCCCCAGAGGAUUAUGGGUACCAGCUGGAGGAGACCAACGAGGCUCCACGGGCGUACAGGAAGCACUUCUUGGGCAGGGAACACCUGAACUUCUCCUGCUCCUCAAGCUGUCUGGGAAACCUGCUCCUGUCUGUGAGACACCAAGAGCAGGAUGACCAGGAGUUCCUCCACGUGAUCAUCAGGUCUCGAGAGAAAAGCGUUUACCACAGAUUACCUUUGACAGAGCUGCCAGACAUACCCAGCGUCCCUGAGCUGGCCAGGCUGCUGUGCGAUGAAGCUGGAGGCCUGCGGUUCAGUCCAAUCCUCUACCCAAAGGCGUCUCAUCUGAUCGUGAGCUAUGACGAGCACGAGGUGAACAACACUUUCAAGUUUGGAAUCAUUUACCAGAGAUUUGGACAGGUGUCUGAGGAGGAGCUGUUCAACAACAACGAGGAGACGCCGGCCUUCACUGACUUCCUGCAGCUGCUGGGCGACACGGUGGAGCUGCAGGACUUUAAGGGGUUUCGGGGGGGCCUGGAUGUGUCCCACGGUCAGACGGGGUCCCAGUCCGUCUACACCGUCCACAGACAGCAGGAGAUCAUGUUCCAUGUUUCCACCAAGCUGCCCUUCACUGAGGGAGACAUGCAGCAGCUGCAGAGGAAGCGUCACAUCGGAAACGACAUUGUGGCGUUAGUGUUUCAGGAAGAGGCCACGCCCUUCGUCCCAGACAUGAUUGCUUCCAACUUCCUGCAUGCGUUCAUCGUGGUGCAGGUGGAGGAGCCGUGCUCGGACAACACCGUCUACAAGGUGUCCGUCACAGCGCGGGAUGAUGUUCCCAAAUUUGGCCCGCCCCUUCCUAGUCCAGCUGUCUUCAGGAAGGGUCCGGAGUUCAGAGAGUUUCUCCUCACUAAACUCAUAAAUGCAGAGUUGGCCUGCUACAAGAGCGACCGCUUCGCCCGCCUGGAGGAACGAACUCGGGCCGCCUUGUUGGACACCCUCCACGAUGAACUGCAGAGACGCUCACAAAGCAUGCUGGGAUUGACCUCAGGCCUGGAGGAGGAGGGCCGAGCAGAGAAUGGACACGCCCAUGGAGGACUGCUGGAGUCCAUCAAGAGAGCCAUGCGAGGGCGGAGCGUCUCCAUGGAAACCAUGUCACGGGGCGGACCGGUGCUGCCCACCAGCCUGAGUGGAGGCGGUCUGGCCCACCUGAGCAUCGAGUGCGGUGCAAAGUCUCCGGUGAAGAGACGCUCGGGACUCUUCCCUCGUCUGCUGAGCGUGGACAGUCAGACGGAGAAGCACAGCCAGAGGAGCCUCCUCAGUGAGCAGCGCAGCUUUGACUGUUACCAUCCCACCCUGGAGGUCCCGUCAGAGGAGCUGCCGUCCAAUCCUAGCUCUCCAGAGGCAGGACAGCGGGACAGGAUUCAAGGGAAAAAGGAGAGCAGUAAGAUUUCCAGAGCCACAUCCAGCAGCUGCAGCUUCAGCCUCCCUGCAGACGACACACACUUGGUGGCAGUAGACGCUCAGACUUCCUGUCCGCUCAUCAUGUGUCGCAGCCCCACAGAGCUGAAAAACAAGAACUCUCCCAGAUCCAACCUGAAGUUCCGCUUCGACAAGCUGAGUCACUCGGCUGCUAAUCAUCCAUUUAAACCAGUCUAAAACUUAACCUUCAUCACAUGUAAGCUGCUGUCUUCUGACCGUCACUCUUCUGUCUGUCCUCAGCCGGGACACUAGACCUCCAGGCCUGCAGUGACAGGAACUGUCUUAAACAGACAAGCUUCUCCACCGUCAUGAGGACCGCUGAUGGUUUAUUUCAAAGGCUAACUUCAGCUCUUCCACAUCUUUGUUUCACGCUCAGAAUCCUGGUUUAUGAAGAUCAGAGCAAGAUUGUUGGAGCUUUUAACUUGUACAGUUUGAUGUGUGAACUUCAAAAAAGUCACUUCAGUUUUUUACACUGAAUGAGUCAAAGUAUAAUUUAUUCUAAUGGUUUUCUUUUUUGUCUUUAACUGAUUUGCUUGAGAUUGAAAUCCUCUGUUUUUUUUCACGUUUGUUGAUUCCAGCACUUUUGUAAACAUGUGAUCCGUGUAACGUGAAAUGUUUUCUGUUCAUGUGGCGCACAAAGGAAAUAAAACACGUCCCCACAAACAUGGAA